AGACCGAUAGCGAACAAGUAGAGUGAUCGAAAGAUGAAAAGCACUUUGAAAAGAGAGUUAAACAGCACGUGAAAUUGUUGAAAGGGAAGCGCUUGCGACCAGACUCGCCCGCGGGGUUCAGCCGGCAUUCGUGCCGGUGUACUUCCCCGUGGGCGGGCCAGCGUCGGUUUGGGCGGCCGGUCAAAGGCCCCUGGAAUGUAGUACCCUCCGGGGUACCUUAUAGCCAGGGGUGCAAUGCACCAGCCUGGACCGAGGAACGCGCUUCGGCACGGA
rnacentral:rRNA from 1 species